UGGGAAUAUUGCACAAUGGGCGAAAGCCUGAUGCAGCAACGCCGCGUGAGUGAUGAAGGCCUUCGGGUUGUAAAGCUCUGUCUUUUGGGACGAUAAUGACGGUACCAAAGGAGGAAGCCACGGCUAACUACGUGCCAGCAGCCGCGGUAAUACGUAGGUGGCAAGCGUUGUCCGGAUUUUACUGGGCGUAAAGGAUGCGUAGGCGGAUUUUUAAGUGAGAUGUGAAAACCCUAAGCUUAACUUGGGGACUGCAUUUCAUACUGGAAAUCUAGAGUGCGGGAGAGGAGAAUGGAAUUCCUAGUGUAGCGGUGAAAUGCGUAGAGAUUAGGAAGAACACCAGUGGCGAAGACGAUUCUCUGGACCGUAACUGACGCUGAGGCAUGAAAGCGUGGGUAGCAAACAGGAUUAGAUACCCUGGUAGUCCACGCCGUAAACGAUGAGUACUAGGUGUAGGAGGUAUCGACCCCCUUCUGUGCCGCAGUUAACACAAUAAGUACUCCCGCCUGGGAAGUACGAUCGCAAGA
rnacentral:rRNA from 1 species